rnacentral:rRNA from 1 species
GACGAACGCUGGCGGCGUGCUUAACACAUGCAAGUCGAACGGAAAGGCCCUGCUUUUGUGGGGUGCUCGAGUGGCGAACGGGUGAGUAAAACGUGAGUAACCUGCCCUUGACUUUGGGAUAAAUUCAGGAAACUGGGGCUAAUACCGGAUAGGAGCUCCUGCUGCAUGGUGGGGGUUGGAAAGUUUCGGCGGUUGGGGAUGGACUCGCGGCUUAUCAGCUUGUUGGUGAGGUAGUGGCUUACCAAGGCUUUGACGGGUAGCCGGCCUGAGAGGGUGACCGGCCACAUUGGGACUGAGAUACGGCCCAGACUCCUACGGGAGGCAGCAGUGGGGAAUAUUGCACAAUGGGCGGAAGCCUGAUGCAGCAACGCCGCGUGCGGGAUGACGGCCUUCGGGUUGUAAACCGCUUUCGCCUGUGACGAAGCGUGAGUGACGGUAAUGGGUAAAGAAGCACCGGCUAACUACGUG